AGCAGCCGCGGUAAUUCCAGCUCCAAUAGCGUAUAUUAAAGUUGUUGCAGUUAAAAAGCUCGUAGUUGAAUUUCGGGAUUGACGUGAUGGUCGUGCCUUAAGGGGUAUGAACUGUCGCUGUUGAUUUCUCACCUUCUGGAGAAACUUGAUGUCCUUAAUUGGGUGUCUUGCGGAUCCAGGACCUUUACCUUGAAAAAUUAGAGUGUUUAAAGCAGGCAUUUUUGCUCGAAUACAUUAGCAUGGAAUAAUAGAAUAGGACGGCAUGGUUCUAUUUUGUUGGUUUCUAGGAUCACCGUAAUGAUUAAUAGGGAUAGUUGGGGGCAUUAGUAUUCAAUUGUCAGAGGUGAAAUUCUUGGAUUUAUUGAAGACUAACUACUGCGAAAGCAUUUGCCAAGGAUGUUUUCAUUAAUCAAGAACGAAAGUUAGGGGAUCGAAGACGAUCAGAUACCGUCGUAGUCUUAACCAUAAACUAUGCCGACUAGGAAUCAGA
rnacentral:misc_RNA from 1 species